AGAGUUUGAUCCUGGCUCAGGACGAACGCUGGCGGCGUGCCUAAUACAUGCAAGUAGAACGCUGAAGAGAGGAGCUUGCUCUUCUUGGAUGAGUUGCGAACGGGUGAGUAACGCGUAGGUAACCUGCCUUGUAGCGGGGGAUAACUAUUGGAAACGAUAGCUAAUACCGCAUAACAAUGGGUGACACAUGUCAUUUAUUUGAAAGGGGCAAUUGCUCCACUACAAGAUGGACCUGCGUUGUAUUAGCUAGUAGGUGAGGUAACGGCUCACCUAGGCGACGAUACAUAGCCGACCUGAGAGGGUGAUCGGCCACACUGGGACUGAGACACGGCCCAGACUCCUACGGGAGGCAGCAGUAGGGAAUCUUCGGCAAUGGGGGCAACCCUGACCGAGCAACGCCGCGUGAGUGAAGAAGGUUUUCGGAUCGUAAAGCUCUGUUGUAAGUCAAGAACGAGUGUGAGAGUGGAAAGUUCACACUGUGACGGUAGCUUACCAGAAAGGGACGGCUAACUACGUGCCAGCAGCCGCGGUAAUACGUAGGUCCCGAGCGUUGUCCGGAUUUAUUGGGCGUAAAGCGAGCGCAGGCGGUUUGAUAAGUCUGAAGUUAAAGGCUGUGGCUCAACCAUAGUUCGCUUUGGAAACUGUCAAACUUGAGUGCAGAAGGGGAGAGUGGAAUUCCAUGUGUAGCGGUGAAAUGCGUAGAUAUAUGGAGGAACACCGGUGGCGAAAGCGGCUCUCUGGUCUGUAACUGACGCUGAGGCUCGAAAGCGUGGGGAGCGAACAGGAUUAGAUACCCUGGUAGUCCACGCCGUAAACGAUGAGUGCUAGGUGUUGGAUCCUUUCCGGGAUUCAGUGCCGCAGCUAACGCAUUAAGCACUCCGCCUGGGGAGUACGACCGCAAGGUUGAAACUCAAAGGAAUUGACGGGGGCCCG
rnacentral:rRNA from 1 species